rnacentral:rRNA from 1 species
UGGGAAGUAUUGCACAAUGGGCGCAAGCCUGAUGCAGCAACGCCGCGUGAAGGAAGACGGUUUUCGGAUUGUAAACUUCUGUUCUUAGUGAAGAAGAAUGACGGUAGCUAAGGAGCAAGCCACGGCUAACUACGUGCCAGCAGCCGCGGUAAUACGUAGGUGGCAAGCGUUGUCCGGAAUUACUGGGUGUAAAGGGAGCGCAGGCGGGGAAGCAAGUCAGUUGUGAAAUCCCAUGGGCUUAACCCGUGAACUGCAGUUGAAACUGUUCUUCUUGAGUGAAGUAGAGGUUGGCGGAAUUCCGAGUGUAGCGGUGAAAUGCGUAGAUAUUCGGAGGAACACCGGUGGCGAAGGCGGCCAACUGGGCUUUUACUGACGCUGAGGCUCGAAAGUGUGGGGAGCAAACAGGAUUAGAUACC